rnacentral:rRNA from 1 species
GAUGAACGCUGGCGGCGUGCCUAAUACAUGCAAGUCGAGCGAACAGACGAGGAGCUUGCUCCUCUGACGUUAGCGGCGGACGGGUGAGUAACACGUGGAUAACCUACCUAUAAGACUGGGAUAACUUCGGGAAACCGGAGCUAAUACCGGAUAAUAUAUUGAACCGCAUGGUUCAAUAGUGAAGGACGGUUUUGCUGUCACUUAUAGAUGGAUCCGCGCCGCAUUAGCUAGUUGGUAAGGUAACGGCUUACCAAGGCAACGAUGCGUAGCCGACCUGAGAGGGUGAUCGGCCACACUGGAACUGAGACACGGUCCAGACUCCUACGGGAGGCAGCAGUAGGGAAUCUUCGGCAAUGGGCGAAAGCCUGACGGAGCAACGCCGCGUGAGUGAUGAAGGUCUUCGGAUCGUAAAACUCUGUUAUUAGGGAAGAACAAAUGUGUAAGUAACUAUGCACGUCUUGACGGUACCUAAUCAGAAAGCCACGGCUAACUACGUG